AGUACGGCCGCAAGGUUAAAACUCAAAUGAAUUGACGGGGGCCCGCACAAGCGGUGGAGCAUGUGGUUUAAUUCGAUGCAACGCGAAGAACCUUACCUACUCUUGACAUCCAGAGAACUUAGCAGAGAUGCUUUGGUGCCUUCGGGAACUCUGAGACAGGUGCUGCAUGGCUGUCGUCAGCUCGUGUUGUGAAAUGUUGGGUUAAGUCCCGCAACGAGCGCAACCCUUAUCCUUUGUUGCCAGCGGUUCGGCCGGGAACUCAAAGGAGACUGCCAGUGAUAAACUGGAGGAAGGUGGGGAUGACGUCAAGUCAUCAUGGCCCUUACGAGUAGGGCUACACACGUGCUACAAUGGCGCAUACAAAGAGAAGCGACCUCGCGAGAGCAAGCGGACCUCAUAAAGUGCGUCGUAGUCCGGAUCGGAGUCUGCAACUCGACUCCGUGAAGUCGGAAUCGCUAGUAAUCGUAGAUCAGAAUGCUACGGUGAAUA
rnacentral:rRNA from 1 species